UCCAGCAGCACAGCCCUUGGUCCAGGUUCAUUCCCAGAGAUGCCUCCUGUGGGCUGAGCGGGCAGCGUCUCAAGGUCUACUUACGCUUAUCCAGGGCUGUGGCCAGUGGGAGUGGGGGAGGGAGGCAGGUACGCCUCAUGCUGAACCACUCCUGGGAUGGCCUCGUGGCUCUCUCCGUGGCCCUUCCCAAUCUGUGGCUGCGGUGGUGGGGAACAGAGGGACCGGGAUGGGGGCUUCCAUCUUCCGUGGGCUGCUUAGACCCCAGCACAAGUGGCAGGGGCAGGGACACGAGGGAAUAUCCAGGGUAGCCUGGGAUGAUGGGUCUGUAGGGUGGAGAGAGGCAGGGGGUUCCAUGGAAACAGCAAGUGAGCCAGGACCAAAGGGGGAUACAGGAAGGCACAUCUGGACCUAAAGCCUGAGCUGUUCUCCAGUGGGAUGGGUGGCCUCUGGAGGGAGUGAGCUCUUUGUCCUCAGAGAUGAACAAGCAGAGAAAGAAGAAGGGAUUCCUGCUAUGGGUGGCAGGCUGGAUUCGAGACUGAGGAAGGUCCUUCCAGCUCGGGUAUGGUGGUUCAUGAGGAGGCUGGGAGACCAGAGGGGAGGCUGUCAUCAUGUCCUGAGACACAGAGAGACAUGGCGAGUGAAGCCUCGUUACUACGUGAGAUCAAACAGAAUGACUCUGAGGAUGGGACCUCAGGGAAAUGCAAUGAAGAAAAGAAGAUUCUAUUAUGGAGUCGGGACAAGCCGCUCUCAGCUUGCUGUUUACUAAGGACUCGCUCUGGUCCUCAGUAUCCUCUUCUGUUGAAUGGGAAUCAUUAACUUGUCCAGCCUGCUUCCUGGGAGGCUCAGAUGAGCCACACACACACACAUCCUCUCUCGCGCGCACAUGGGACAUGCUGACUUCUGCACCGGACUCCACAGUUUCCGGGUGUCUGUCUCUCCCCUACUCGUGGACACAACUCCCACACGAGCCCUCGGACACGCGGCCCACAGUCUGUUGCUUGGAUGUUCCCCACACACUCACCCCACCCCCAGACAUGCGCUCUUCUCCGUGAACGCGCAGAGAGUGGCACCAACUCCCCUGGCCGCGCCGCCAGCCCGAAGACCGUGACCGCUGCCUCGUGCCUGAGGAAGAUGUGCCCAAACGCCUCGGCUCUAGCUGCUCCUCCGGCACUCAUGUCCCCCCAUCCACACGUCCAUCCUCACACUCCGGCCUCCCCGUCAGGGCUGUCUUCAUGGGCGUGUGACCUGUGGUCAAGCCCUCAAGCCCUAGAAUGUUCUGAAGUUGCCAUCCUGAAAUCCUUAGUUUUUAAACAAGGGGCCCGCACUUUGAUUUUGCACCUCUCUGCCUGCAGCCCUCACCAGGCCACCGAACGUGAUGGAUGAGGGGACUACUGAAAGCAUCCUGUAGUUGUAUAACCCCCCCUCCUAGUGGGACCUUGGGGCUCAGUGUCCCCAUCUGUAAAGUGGACUCAGGAUAACACCCACCUCAGGGUUCUUUGUGAGGGUUAAAUGAGAUAGCAUCUGUAAAACACUUA